GUGGAUUAGAUACCCUAGUAGUCCACGCGGUAAACGAUGUCAACUAGCCGUUGGGAACGCUUAAGUUUUCAGUGGCGCAGCUAACGCGAUAAGUUGACCGCCUGGGGAGUACGGCCGCAAGGUUAAAACUCAAAUGAAUUGACGGGGGCCCGCACAAGCGGUGGAGCAUGUGGUUUAAUUCGAUGCAACGCGAAGAACCUUACCUGGCCUUGACAUGCUUGGAAUCCUGCAGAGAUGUGGGAGUGCCUUCGGGAGCCAAGACACAGGUGCUGCACGGUUGUCGUCAGCU
rnacentral:rRNA from 1 species